rnacentral:rRNA from 1 species
UAAUACGUACCACACGAACGUUAUUCGGAAUCACUGGGCUUAAAGGGUGCGCAGGCUGUGCAGAAAGUCGGGUGUGAAAUCCCUCGGCUCAACCGAGGAACUGCGCCCGAAACUACUGUGCUCGAGGGAGAUAGAGGUGAGCGGAACUUAGGGUGGAGCGGUGAAAUGCGUUGAUAUCCUAAGGAACACCGGUGGCGAAAGCGGCUCACUGGAUCUCUUCUGACGCUCAUGCACGAAAGCCAGGGGAGCGAACGGG